ensembl:lncRNA EXOSC10-AS1 EXOSC10 antisense RNA 1
GGGUCGGGUUCCGGGGCGGGCUGGGCCGGCGGAAGGGGUCCGGGUCCUUCCUCCGCCCCAAGCAGCCGGGGCGGUGCACCACCGGCCCCCGCUUCCUUCUCGGGGUUGGGAGGCACCGAGGGCCUCGAGGGGCUGCGGGACUCGGGCUUGGUGUGGAGGGCAAGAGCGCUGCGACGUGCGGACUGGAGAGUCAGCCUUUGGGCUGGAGACACGGGAGCGGGUGGCUACAGUGGUUUACGUUGUUGCACGGGGCGAGUAGAACAAAAACACACCUGAGCUCAGGUGGCCAAAGAUUCUAGCAGCACAGGAGUGACUUUAGAUCCCCUGAGAGAGGAUGUUUCUGUGUCUCUGAAGGCAAGGCCGCCAGGAUGCGCUGCAAGAGGAACAGGAGCACCCCAAAGCAGCCCUGCCCCCGCGCCUGUGGAAGCUACAGCCACGCUGUUUCCCUGGCACCAGCACCAACACCCACGAGGGGUGAAUGCAGGCUUGUGCUGGCCCCAAAGGGGGUGCUUUUGGCCUGCAGCUAUAGUUCCCAUGGUAGCAAACACAGAAUAAUACCCUUUAAAGCCACAUGCCAGCUUUUACAGCCUCGUUUUAUGAGUUGCUGGGGUAGCUGAUCAGUACUGUCUGCCCUUGGGAAGAAAUGAGGUGAGGAAAAAGAUAUGCAAAGGAAUGGACUCCUGGAUGGGCCUGUCUUCUCAGCAGAGGAGGAGGUCAGAAACAGGCGCCACCAGCGUGCUAAAAUCCUCCAGGAGCAGUUCUUACCUUGCCAGACGGGGUCUGUUUAUUUGGAUCAAACUGAGAAGAAACUUUGGAUUUGCUGUUUCCUGAAAGGUAAGAGAUGAGAGAGACCUGCGGUCAGGUCAAUGAGUUACCACACAUCACAGGCUCACAGCGAGGCCGGGACCAUGACACUCAGGGAAGCCUUGGCUGUGAGAGCACCCCUGUCACGAUGAGGGGCUAGGGCUCAUGGCUCACAUAAAUGAAUACAUAGCGAUCCUGGUCCCUGUGGGCAGUCUGAAAACCAGGCCCAUUUCUCUCAGCUCUAGUCCCAGGACCUUAGGGGCAGGUGGCUACAGCAGUGGCCCCCGCACAUAAGGAAAUCCAUUCUGAUCUCUGUGCUGGGUGAUGCCAUAAGGAACUCGGGCUCUGAGGCGACACUCCUGUAUAAAGGGCCAUUGUGUGGACUGGCCUCUGCUUUCUCUUUUCCAAAGGAGCAUGUUGCUCCGAAGGCUGCUAGAGUCGAGAAUGCCAUCUGUAGCCCCUUCAAAGCAGACGGACUCUCACAGCCCAAGCAGCCAUAGGGGUUCAUGUCAUAGGCUUUGAGAUUUUUCAACAAACAAAAUUCUGUGUGUGUGUGUGUGUGAGAGAGAGAGAGAGGGUUUAUGGGCACAAGUUAUAGUGAGGAAGGAUGGCGCCCUGGUCACAGUGGAAGUGACAGGUGAUCUUGCUAACCCACCAUGGAGGCCACCAUGAGUUGAGCUCCCAUGGAGGAGGUGGUAAUGAGGCUGCAGGCGACUGUCCACAUUGCCACGGCCUCUCUGGACUACUCCAACAAUUCCUGGCUAGCACCAUGCCUUGUGCAGGACUCACUUGGCCCCUAUAUUGUGGUCUCUUUAUGGCUUCCUCCCCUCUGACGCGCACAGAUGUCCCUGUAUGGGGCCCCAUUACUUCCUCACCAGCAAAAGCCUUGAAGUCUGACUGGCUGUAGUCGUAAGGCGUAAACUCUUUUUCUGGUGGCUCUGGGUCCUUUGGCUUCUUGGAAAUUUUGAGUCGUUUCUUCUCUUGUUUCUGUUCUGUGGUCCUUGGGUCGCUUGUUGCUCGCUCUCUCUUCUUUGCAGCAUUUUCUAGCUGUAGAUCAGGAACAGAUGUGGGGGAGGAACAGGGAGGCACAUGGGAACAGGGAACUCCACCGGCCUCAGCAAUAGCUGGGACCCAGCUGCCUAAGUGGUAAGAAGAACAGUCAGUGGUGGGGAGAGGAGCUGUGGCUGGAACUUCGGGACCAACACUCAGGGUCAGCUGAAACAAAUUCCUCACUGGACAAUGACAUGAGGUCAUUUAAGAAAGGCAAGCAGGCCAGGUGCAGUGGCUCAUGCCUAUAAUUCCAGUGCUUUGGGCGGCCUAGGUGGGAGGACUGCUUUAGGCAGUCUGAGACCAGCCUGGGCAACAUAGCAAGACCCCUAUCUCUACAAAAAAAAAGAAACAAAUGUAGCUGGGCAUGGUGGUGCGUGCUUGUAGUCCUAGCUACUUGGGAGGCUGAGGUGGGAGGAUCACUUGAACCCAGGAGUACAAGGCUGCAAUGAGCUAUAAUUGCACCACUGUACUCCAGCCUGGGCAUCAGGGUAAGAGUAAGACCAUGUCACUAUUUUUUUUUUAAAAGGAAAUUAAAAAAAAAAAAAAA